UACGAAGGGGGCUAGCGUUGCUCGGAAUCACUGGGCGUAAAGGGCGCGUAGGCGGCUGAUUUAGUCGAGGGUGAAAGCCCGUGGCUCAACCACGGAAUGGCCUUCGAUACUGAUUGGCUUGAGACCGGAAGAGGACAGCGGAACUGCGAGUGUAGAGGUGAAAUUCGUAGAUAUUCGCAAGAACACCAGUGGCGAAGGCGGCUGUCUGGUCCGGUUCUGACGCUGAGGCGCGAAAGCGUGGGGAGCGAACAGG
rnacentral:rRNA from 1 species